rnacentral:rRNA from 1 species
CAGCGAUGGGGUGACGGAGUAGUGAAAGAUCCGCGAACUGACGGAAUAGUUCGUUAAAGGGUGUAGUUAUAGGCAGUGUAGGCAAAUCCGCACAGCUUGAUGAACCUGAUAGUACCACAAUGCUUCGGCAGCGUGGAUAGUGAUCCUAAUCAGACUUCCAAGAAAAACCUCUAAGCAUAUGGAUAUGGUACCCGUACCGCAAACCGACACAGGUAGUCGAGGCGAGUAGCCUCAGGUGAGCGAGAGAACUCUCGUUAAGGAACUCGGCAAAAUGACCCCGUAACUUCGGGAGAAGGGGUGCUGACUUUAAGUCAGCCGCAGUGAAUAGGCCCAAGCAACUGUUUAUCAAAAACACAGCUCUCUGCUAAAUCGUAAGAUGAUGUAUAGGGGGUGACGCCUGCCCGGUGCUGGAAGGUUAAGAGG